rnacentral:rRNA from 1 species
ANCGANNNNUNACUCCAACCCAAUGUGACGUUACCAAACUGUUGCCUCGGCGGGGUCACGCCCCGGGUGCGUCGCAGCCCCGGAACCAGGCGCCCGCCGGAGGAACCAACCAAACUCUUUCUGUAGUCCCCUCGCGGACGUAUUUCUUACAGCUCUGAGCAAAAAUUCAAAAUGAAUCAAAACUUUCAACAACGGAUCUCUUGGUUCUGGCAUCGAUGAAGAACGCAGCGAAAUGCGAUAAGUAAUGUGAAUUGCAGAAUUCAGUGAAUCAUCGAAUCUUUGAACGCACAUUGCGCCCGCCAGUAUUCUGGCGGGCAUGCCUGUCCGAGCGUCAUUUCAACCCUCGAACCCCUCCGGGGGAUCGGCGUUGGGGAUCGGGACCCCUCACACGGGUGCCGGCCCCUAAAUACAGUGGCGGUCUCGCCGCAGCCUCUCCUGCGCAGUAGUUUGCACAACUCGCACCGGGAGCGCGGCGCGCCCACGUCCGUAAAACACCCAACUUUCUGAAAUGUUGACCUCGGAUCAGGUAGGAAUACCCGCUGAACUUAAGCAUAUCAAUANCCCGAAGGAAAACCUUGUUGGGGGGAUGCAAUUUAAGCACAUGUAAGGUGAUUGCACUUGAACCAAUGGGGGAUGGGGAAGGUGGGGGAUGAAUCACAACAUCCCUUAUCACUUGAUUAUGACUUUGCUACAUGGGACACUACAAAGGCCAUGGAACUCGUAGGGUAAGCCCAUCCCACAAACCAAUCUCACUUCGCAUCCCAGACUGCGACUCGACUGCUUGAACCUGGAAUCGUUAGUGAUCGUAAGAUCAUCAUGCAAUCGUGAAAUAAUCAUUGAAGGGGUUUAUUACGUUCUUGGACGGCUCUGUCCCCACACGCUCUGUCACACCUCGGAGUAGCUGAAGGUAACCUUCUACUACCCACCCCCAGACACGUCGGGACGAU